rnacentral:rRNA from 1 species
CACGUAGGCGGAUUUGUAAGUCAGGGGUGAAAUCCCGGGGCUCAACCUCGGAACUGCCUUUGAUACUGCAAAUCUCGAGUCCGGAAGAGGUGAGUGGAAUUCCUAGUGUAGAGGUGAAAUUCGUAGAUACUAGGAAGAACACCAGUGGCGAAGGCGGCUCACUGGUCCGGUACUGACGCUGAGGUGCGAAAGCGUGGGGAGCAAACA